GGCGACCGGGUGAGUAACACGUGGGUAAUCUACCUCCGGGUGGGGAAUAACACCUCAAAAGAGGUGCUAAUACCGCAUAAUGCAGCGGCACCUAGUGGUGAUUAGUUGUUAAAGCGGGGGAUCGCAAGACCUCGCGCCUGGAGAGGAGCCUGCGGCCGGUUAGCUAGUUGGUGAGGUAACGGCUCACCAAGGCGACGAUCGGUAGCUGGUCUGAGAGGACGGCCAGCCACACUGGCACUGAAAUACGGGCCAGACUCCUACGGGAGGCAGCAGUGGGGAAUUUUGGGCAAUGGGCGCAAGCCUGACCCAGCAACGCCGCGUGAGGGAGGAAAUCCUUCGGGAUGUAAACCUCGCAAGCAGGGGAAGAGUGCUUUCGACCUAAUACGUUGAAAGAGGGACGGUACCCUGCGUAAGCCACGGCUAACUACGUGCCAGCCGCCGCGG
rnacentral:rRNA from 1 species